AUUGAACGCUGGCGGCAUGCCUUACACAUGCAAGUCGAACGGUAACAGGUCUUCGGAUGCUGACGAGUGGCGAACGGGUGAGUAAUACAUCGGAACGUGCCCGAUCGUGGGGGAUAACGCAGCGAAAGCUGUGCUAAUACCGCAUACGAUCUACGGAUGAAAGCGGGGGAUCGCAAGACCUCGCGCGGACGGAGCGGCCGAUGGCAGAUUAGGUAGUUGGUGGGAUAAAAGCUUACCAAGCCGACGAUCUGGAGCUGGUCUGAGAGGACGACCAGCCACACUGGGACUGAGACACGGCCCAGACUCCUACGGGAGGCAGCAGUGGGGAAUUUUGGACAAUGGGCGCAAGCCUGAUCCAGCCAUGCCGCGUGCAGGAUGAAGGCCUUCGGGUUGUAAACUGCUUUUGUACGGAACGAAAAAGUUCUCUCUAAUACAGGGGGCGAAUGACGGUACCGUAAGAAUAAGCACCGGCUAACUACGUGCCAGCAGCCGCCGUAAGAC
rnacentral:rRNA from 1 species